rnacentral:rRNA from 1 species
AUUGAACGCUGGCGGCAGGCUUAACACAUGCAAGUCGAGCGGGGUGAUGGUGCUUGCACUAUCACUUAGCGGCGGACGGGUGAGUAAUGCUUAGGAAUCUGCCUAUUAGUGGGGGACAACAUCUCGAAAGGGAUGCUAAUACCGCAUACGCCCUACGGGAGAAAGCAGGGGAUCACUUGUGACCUUGCGCUAAUAGAUGAGCCUAAGUCGGAUUAGCUAGUUGGUGGGGUAAAGGCCUACCAAGGCGACGAUCUGUAGCGGGUCUGAGAUGAUGAUCCGGCACACUGGGACUGAGACACGGCCCAGGCUCCUACGGGAGGCAGCAGUGGGGAAUAGUGGACAAUGGGGGGAACCCUGAUCCAGCCAUGCCGCGUGUGUGAAGAAGGCCUUAUGGUUGUAAAGCACUUUAAGCGAGGAGGAGGCUCUUUUGGUUAACACCCAAGAUGAGUGGACGUUACUCGCAGAAUAAGCACCGGCUAACUCUGUGCCAGCCGCCGCCGUAA